rnacentral:rRNA from 1 species
UACGAAGGGGGCUAGCGUUGCUCGGAAUCACUGGGCGUAAAGGGUGCGUAGGCGGGUCUUUAAGUCAGGGGUGAAAUCCUGGAGCUCAACUCCAGAACUGCCUUUGAUACUGAGGAUCUUGAGUAUGGGAGAGGUGAGUGGAACUGCGAGUGUAGAGGUGAAAUUCGUAGAUAUUCGCAAGAACACCAGUGGCGAAGGCGGCUCACUGGCCCAUUACUGACGCUGAGGCACGAAAGCGUGGGGAGCAAACAGGGAU